GUGCUUGCUUCAGCAGCACAUAUACUAAAAUUGGAACAAUACAGAGAAGAUUAGUAUGGCCCCUGAGUAUUGAGUAUGCUCAAGCUAUGCGGUAGAAAUGCUGCCAUUUUAA
ensembl:snRNA U6 U6 spliceosomal RNA